rnacentral:rRNA from 1 species
GACGAACGCUGGCGGCGUGACUAAUACAUGCAAGUAGAACGAAGUUGAGAACGGGUGAGUAACGCGUCGGUAACUGCCUCAUAGCGGGGGAAAACUAUUGGACAAGAUAGCUAAUACAGCAUACUGUGAGAUGGACCUGAGUUGUAUUAGCGAGUUGGUAAGUGAAAGGCUCACCAAGGAGCCGAUACAUAGCCGACCUGAGAGGGGUAUCGGUCACCUUGGGGCUGAUACACGGCCCAGACUCCUACGGGAGGCAGCAGUAGGUAAUCGUCGGCAAUGGACUGAAGUCUGACCGAGCAACGCAGCGGGAGUGAAGAAGGUUUUCGGAUCGUAUAGCUCUGUUGUUAGAGAAGCGGUAACUAACCAGAAAGGGACUGCUAACUACGUGCCAGCAGCCGCGGUAAUUC